rnacentral:rRNA from 1 species
UACGUAGGGUGCGAGCGUUAAUCGGAAUUACUGGGCGUAAAGCGCACGUAGGCGGCUUUUUAAGUCAGGGGUGAAAUCCUGGAGCUCAACUCCAGAACUGCCUUUGAUACUGAGAAGCUUGAGUCCGGGAGAGGUGAGUGGAACUGCGAGUGUAGAGGUGAAAUUCGUAGAUAUUCGCAAGAACACCAGUGGCGAAGGCGGCUACCUGGACAAAUAUUGACGCUGAGGCGCGAAAGCUAGGGGAGCAAACGGG